AAUUAUAAUUUCUUUUUGAAUGUACAAUAUGUUUAUCAAACUCACAAAAAACUUGGGAAUAGUGUCUGUGAAGUUCUCCACCGGUUUAGAAUUCAAGCAGAUCAACAUAGAUCCCGUGGUAUCGGUCGGGCAGUUCAAUAGCUCGGCUUGCUUCUUCGCCAAGUGUGAUUGUUCGGUAGGAAACUGUUCUAACAUCGUCGAGCCACUCAUCAUGAUUGCGCGAUGGAAUAAUCCUUCGGACAUCGGCGAAACCAUGUGCAGCAUCACGCUCAAUCCACCAACGCUGUAGCCGGAUAUCGUCACGCUGUCAGGAUCGCCACCGAAGGUGACUAUGUUUCUCUGAAUCCAUCGAAGAGCCACGACUUGAUCUUUCAAGCCCAAAUUGCCUGGUGCCUUCGAGUCACCGGUGCUUAGAAAACCUGAAAAGCACAAUAUUUUUUUCUUUUAGGAAAAACAUUAUACUUUGAUAUAAAAAGCUGUAUUUGGCUUGUAUAUUUUUCUUCAAGCUUCAAAAAUUUAUCGUUCAUGAUUUAAAUUAUCUAUAUGAAGAAUAAUGAAACGUCCGGAGAUUCACCUAGAGACGCGAGACGAUAAUUAACGAUGACGAGAACGAUAUCUUUGUCCAGCAAGUAUUCAGGUCCAAAAUUAGAACUUUGACCUGAGAAUACAUAAAAGCCACCAGGAUGAAAGAAUACCAAUACGGGUCUCUUUACAGGAUCGCUCGCUGAUGCGAGAAUACGGAACGCAUUAGUAAAGCUCACUUUCGUGGUGUAGACAUUCACACGAAGACAAUCCUCCAUUAUAUUUUCCGCGUGUAUUGCUGGACAAGAGGGUCCUUCUUUGGUCGCAUCAAAGACACCAUUCCAAUCCGCCGCUGGAAUGGCAACCUACGAGAAAUGGAAUUAAAAGGAUACAAAAUAACGUGUGAUAAAAUUGCAUUGCUUUACCUGGAAACGUUGCUGUCCGGUCGGUGGCUCGGCAUAUCUCACACCACGAAAGGAAUAGAUCUCUUUUCCGAGUCUGGAGGUCAAGAUGGAACCGCGAAUUCUCCCGAUGGGUGCGAUCACCUCAGGUAGCUGUUCGCCAACGGGAUCGCCGCUGGCGAACGCAAGGACGACGCUCAGAAGGACAAUGAAUAAUGGACAACGUUUCAUGGCAGCGAGAGGAUAGCUCGUAUAUUUUGUCGAGCUUAACACACGAGAGCGGAGGAAUCUCAUUAGCAGUGAAACUGGUUAAGAAGGAACGUUGAGCGCGUGCGUUACACCGGAAUACUAAAAGCAUUUCAAGGACGAUACGAGGCUUUUUAUACUCAUCAGUACAGGCGCACUAUACAGUCGCUAGGAGGAAGAAGCGCAAUUACCUUUCUGGAAAACUCAAGUGUGUCAUAUACACGUGUGUGUAUUUUCUCAGACGAUCAUCAGAUGUGUGGUAAGGUCACGCGUAGUUUUGUAAUUUAAAUCUACGCGUGAACGGGAUUUUUUGAAUCGAGAUAAGGAAACGCGCGCGCGUGUUACUAUUUAUUACUCAACGAGAGAUACAGAUCUAUCUGACGUACAAAACUGAACUGUUUACAACAUGAUCGCGGAUAUUUUCGUUCUUUUCCCAGACAGCACCAAGCAGAAAAUUGGCGCAUAAGAUAUCAUUAAGAAAUC